CUCCGGUUGAUCCCGCCGGACCUGACUGCUAUCGGAUUGGUACUAAGCCAUGCGAGUCGUUGUAGCAAUACAAGGCGGACGGCUCAGUAACACGUAGUCAACCUAACCUAUGGACGUGGAUAACCUCGGGAAACUGAGAAUAAACCGCGAUAGAUCAUUAUGCCUGGAAUGGCUUAUGGUUCAAACAAUUUAUUGCCGUAGGAUGGGACUGCGGCCUAUCAGCUUGUUGGUGAGGUAAUGGCCCACCAAGGCUAUAACAGGUACGGGCUCUGAGAGGAGAAGCCCGGAGAUGGGUACUGAGACACGGACCCAGGCCCUAUGGGGCGCAGCAGGCGAGAAACCUUAGCAAUGUGCGAAAGCACGACUAGGUUAAUCCGAGUGAUUUCUGUUGAAGAAAUCCUUUGUCAGUCGUAAAACCACAGACGAAUAAGGGGUGGGCAAGUCUGGUGUCAGCCGCCGCGGUAAUACCAGCACCUCGAGUGGUCAGGAGGUUUAUUGGGCCUAAAGCAUCCGUAGCCGGCUACGCAAGUCUCCGGUUAAAUCCAGCUGCUCAACAGAUGGGCUGCCGGAGAUACUACAUAGCUAGGGAGCGGGAGAGGUAGACGGUAUUCUGUGGGUAGGGGUAAAAUCCACUGAUCCAUAGAGGACCACCAGUGGCGAAGGCGGUCUACCAGAACGCGUUCGACGGUGAGGGAUGAAAGCUGGGGGAGCAAACCGGAUUAGAUACCCGGGUAGUCCCAGCUGUAAACGAUGCAAACUCGGUGAUGCAUUGGCUUAUGGCCAAUGCAGUGCCGCAGGGAAGCCGUUAAGUUUGCCGCCUGGGAAGUACGGACGCAAGUCUGAAACUUAAAGAAUUGGCGGGGGAGCA
rnacentral:rRNA from 1 species